GUGCUCUCUUUGGCAGCACAUUUAGUAAACUUAGAAUGAUUCAGAGAAGAUUAGCAUGACCUUUUUUGCAAAGAUGACAGGCAAAUUGGUGAGGCAUUCCAUAUUUUU
ensembl:snRNA U6 U6 spliceosomal RNA